AACGAACGCUGGCGGCGUGUUUAAGACAUGCAAGUCGCACGGGAUAAGACAUGUAGUAAUACUUGUUUUAUUUAGUGGCGCACGGGUGAGUAACACGUGAAUUACAUGCCCUAUAGUGGGGAAUAGCCCAGGGAAACUUGGAUUAAUACCCCAUGGUAUCGAAAGAUUAAAGGUGGCCGCAAGGCUGUCGCUAUAGGAUUGGUUCGCGCCCUAUCAGCUGGUUGGUGAGGUAACGGCUCACCAAGGCAAUGACGGGUACCUGGUCUGAGAGGACGAUCAGGCACACUGGAACUGAGACACGGUCCAGACACCUACGGGUGGCAGCAGUCGAGAAUAUUUCACAAUGGGGGCAACCCUGAUGGUGCAACGCCGCGUGGAGGAUGACGGUCUUCGGAUUGUAAACUCCUGUCAUCUGGGAGAAAGACCUGACGGUAAAUAGCCGGCAGGGUUGAUAGUACCAGAAGAGGAAGGGACGGCUAACUUCGUGCCAGCCGCCGCGGUAA
rnacentral:rRNA from 1 species